UGGUAAUAAGAAAAUUGCAAACAAAUAAAGCAGGAACGCAUCCAUUCAUACAUCUCGGAUUCACCACUUUCACACACAUAUCAGGCACGUAAGGCACAACACAUACAUAUGCAUCUCCGUCUCUCCAAUUCAGCAAAUUUCCACACAAAUCAAAACACAUAUGCAUCAAGGAUGCACCAUUUGUAGAUCAAAUAGCAACCUGUAUGACGGGGAGUGGAGCUACCGCAUCAAGGACGGAGGGGAACGCUGAUUGGAGGCAGCGCCAUGGACGGAGCGGAGUACGUCGCAUCAUGGAGAAGAGCAGCAGGAGAUGGACGAAAACUUGGGCGCCGCCAUGAGCGCUGAUUGGAGGCAGCGCGAGGCGCGCAGGGCCAUGGGCUCCCAGAUCCCGGGUGACCAGGGAUUGCGUCCUCGUCCAGGACGAGAGGAGGAAGGGGAGGUGGGCCGCUGCCGGUGCUUGGGCACGAGGAGAGUGGAGGAGCGCGAGGAGGCAGGCCUCGUCAGGCGGGAUCCUUCACGAGGAGCGCAGGCGGCGGCCAGGCCUCGCGCGUGACCAGGCGGCAGUUGCGGCAGGGGCCGCGGCAAUCGGCAGAGUCGGAGCGCCGCGCAUCCGGCUGGAGGUAGCUGGCUGCGGUGGCGCGCGAGGACGGCGACUGGAGGUAGCGGUAGCGGUGGCGGUGGGCAGAGGCGGAGCGCCGUGCAUCCGGCUGGAGGUAGCUGGCUGCGGUGGUGCGCGGGGACGACGACUGGAGGUUGCGACGCGACGGCCGGAGUGGUUGGAUCCGAGUCUGU
rnacentral:rRNA from 1 species